UUCCGAUAAAACAAUAAUAAUUAAACUUACAUAAGAAUCAAAACUAUCACUCGAUAUCACAUUAAGAAUUAUUUAUAAAUACUUAAUAUAUUUCCUUACUUUCAUCAUAUCGGAUAACACCAUCAGGGUAAUCGAGUAAUUCAGUCAAUCGAAGUUUCGACAAUUAAUCCAUUAAAACGGAAAUCGCUCAAAUACACGCAUCUGCUCGAUUAACUGGAUCGACCUUCGCAUUGAACGUGUAAUAGGAGUUCCGAUAAUCAUAGUUAAACUUCAUUAUGCGUAUUAAUACCGAGGACUUGCCGCUUUUUCACUUCUGCUGGAUUCUUUCGACGUAACGUAUUUUAAGAGAUGGAGGAAAAAGUUCUAACAAGGCUAUCAGUUUUAUAUUUUUUUCUUUUCCCCCUAAAAUUUGAUUCAAUUGACUUUGACCGUUUUUUU